GCCCUAGUAACGGCGAGUGAAGCGGCAACAGCUCAAAUUUGAAAUCUGGCGCAAGCCCGAGUUGUAAUUUGUAGAGGAUGCUUCUGGGCAGCGGCCGUUCUAAGUUCCUUGGAACAGGACGUCAUAGAGGGUGAGAAUCCCGUAUGUGACCGGCGCGCACCCUCCACGUAGCUCCUUCGACGAGUCGAGUUGUUUGGGAAUGCAGCUCUAAAUGGGAGGUAAAUUUCUUCUAAAGCUAAAUACCGGCCAGAGACCGAUAGCGCACAAGUAGAGUGAUCGAAAGAUGAAAAGCACUUUGGAAAGAGAGUUAAAAAGCACGUGAAAUUGUUGAAAGGGAAGCGCUUGCAACCAGACUUCGCGGCGGUGUUCCGCCGGUCUUUUGACCGGUCCACUCGCCGCCGCGAGGCCAACAUCGUCUGGGGCCGCCGGAUAAGACCGUAGGAAUGUGGCUCCCUCGGGAGUGUUAUAGCCUUCGGAGAUGCGGCGCGCCCCGGGCGAGGUCCGCGCUUCGGCAAGGAUGUUGGCGUAAUGGUUGCCAGCGGCCCGUCUUGAAACACGGACCAAGGAGUCUAACAUCUAUGCGAGUGUUCGGGUGUCAAACCCCUACGCGUAAUGAAAGUGAACGGAGGUGGGAGCUUCGGCGCACCAUCGACCGAUCCUGAUGUCCUCGGAUGGAUUUGAGUAAGAGCAUAGCUGUUGGGACCCGAAAGAUGGUGAACUAUGCCUGAAUAGGGUGAAACCUUAGGAAACUCUGGUGGAGGCUCGCAGCGGUUCUGACGUGCAAAUCGAUCGUCAA
rnacentral:rRNA from 1 species